UGCCACAGACAGAAGAAUGAAACUGGAUGCCUAUUUCUCACAAUACACAAAAGCGAUUCAAGAUUAAAGACUUAACUGUAAGACUUGAAACUGUAAAAAUACUAGAAGAAAAUCUAGGGAAAACUGUUCUGGACAUUGGCCUAGAAAAAGAAUUUCUGACUAAGACUUCAAAAGCACAGUAAACAAAAAUAGACAAACGGGACUUAAUGAAACUAAAACUCUUCUGCAGAGCAAAGAAAAUAAGAAACAGAGUGAACAGACAACCUGCAAAAUGGGAGAUAGACAAUGGAGACUAAGAAGAGCAAAGGAAUGACAGAGAGGUGGAGGAUGAGAAAUUACUUAAUGGAUACCUUGACUAUGAAUAAUAGUUUCAAUAAGGAAGACAGAAUGAGUUCUGACACGAUGGUUGGGAGCUGUGACAGGCAGACGAAAAAUGGAGCCAAAUGGCAUGGAGGUGUCAUGAUGUUGGAACAGUAACAAUAACUCAACCAACCAGGGCUUGUCUGAAUACAAUCCUACAGCAGCAGGAGCUGUGGAGAUAUAGAAGGCAAGGAAGACCAGGUUGUGAGGGAAGACGAAUUUACUCCCAGGAAUGUUGGGAUUGAGAGUAAUAUUCUCCAAUAAUGGUGGAAGACAGAACAAUAAAAGCCCACCAGCUCCUUCUGCAUGGUGGGAUAAGAGAAAAGCCAAGGGCAGAAGUGAGAAAAAUAACCAUCACCAAACUGAAAAGAAAACCUUUAUAAAAAAACUGGAUUGAUAAAUGACCUUUAGUAGUGGAAAGAUACCAUUCCAAUGAAGCAUGAAUUGAAAGGAUUUCUUCUGAAAGCUAAUUUACAUUUUUCUUUUUUUUUUUUUCAUUUUCAGUGUGUUUUAGCAGGUGUAUUGUUCUACAUGGUUAGUUUCUUUACCUCUUUGAGAAAAAUGGGUCAGCUUGACACAUCUGGAUGAAAGAAUCCGUUAGGUGAUUAUGAUUGAAGACAGAUUAAGCCUUGUUAUGAGGGGAAUAUUUGGGGGCUUACCCUGAGGUGAUAUUUGAUGAUUUAGCUGUGGGAGAAUUUCCCUCCCAAGAUCAGCGUGACUGACACUGAAAUUGCUACAGGGGAACCGGACCUUUCCAAGAGGUGACAAGGACAUUUACCUGGUACAACACAAUGGUUCUGGACUGGAAGUCUAGUCCCAUUGAUGAAGUUCCCAAAAGAUGUCCAGGUCCUAAUCCCUGGAAUCUGUGAAUAUGUCAUCUUACACAUCAAAAGAACUUUGAAAAUGUGAUUGAGGUUAAGGACCUUGGAAUGAGGAGAUUACCUUGGAUUAUCUGGUUGGGUCCAAGCUAAUCACAUGAGUCCUUAAAGGAGAAGAACCUUUUUUAGCUGGGUCAGAGAGAGAUGUGAUGAUGAAAACAGGCUCAGGGAGAUGCACUGUAAGAAGGGCUUGACCAGUUGUUUUUGACUUUGAAGAUGGAGGGAAGGGCCAGGAGCCAAGGAAGGUGGGUGGCUUUUGGAAGGUGGAAAAAGCAAGGGAACAUUCUCUCCAGAGCCUCCAGAAAGGAGCUCAGCCCUGUUGACAUCUUUGUUUUUAUUUUUUAUUUUUAGUAGCAUUGAGGUCUCACUAUGUUGCACAGGCUGGUCUUGAACUCUUGAGCUCAAGCACUCCUCCCGCCUUGGCUUCCCAAAGUGCUGGGAUUAUAGGCAUGUGCCACCACAUCUGGCUUCCUACUGACAUCUUAACUUUAGUGCAGUGAGACUCAUAUUUGAAUUUCUGACCUUAUAUUAUAGAACCAUAAGACAUUAUAGAAUUAUAUAGAAUUAUAGAACCAUAAGACAAUAACUUUGUGUUGUUUUAAGAUACUAAAUUUUUGGUAAUUUGUUAUGGCAGCACAAUAAAACCAAUAUAGCAUUAUAUUAUGC
rnacentral:lncRNA from 1 species